rnacentral:rRNA from 1 species
CAAUAGCGUAUAUUAAAGUUGUUGCGGUUAAAAGCUCGUAGUUGGAUUUCUGCUGAGGACGACCGGUCCGCCUCCGGGUGAGCAUCUGGUUCGGCCUUGGCAUCUUCUUGGUGAACGUAUCUGCACUUGACUGUGCGGUGCGGUACCCAGGACUUUUUUACUUUGAAAAAUUAAGAGUGUUUAAAGCAGGCUUUGCUAUGAAUACAUUAGCAUGGAAUAAUAAUCUAGGACUUCGGUUCUAUUUUGUUGGUUUCUAGUACUGAAGUAAUGAUUGAUAGGGAUAGUUGGGGGUGCUAGUAUUGGGCGGCCAGAGGUGAAAUUCUUGGAUUCGCUCAAGACUAACUUAUGCGAAAGCAUUCACCAAGGAUGUCUUCUUUAAUCAAGAACGAAAGUUGGGGGAUGCGAGAUGAUUAUGAU